rnacentral:lncRNA from 1 species
GUUACCAACUAAAUAGCCUAACCAUAAGUCUAAUUCUCAAGAUUAUCAAUAAUCAACUAGUAUCUUAUCACAAAAUUUAUUUACAUAUUCUACAUAGUCCCACUCUUAAUUGUGCAGCGCCCUCACAAACAUUAUUUAGCCUCAACUUAUAAAGACGUAGCAGCAUUGGCUUCUUUAGUCAAUAGCGUUGGCUUACCACCCUUUGAAUUGGCGACAUCAUUCUCUACUACAUCUUUGUCAUCUA